GAUGAAGAACGUAGUGAAAUGCGAAAAGUAGUGUGAAUUGCAGAAUUCAGUGAAUCAUCGAAUCUUUGAACGCACAUUGCGCCCCUUGGUAUUCCGAGGGGCAUGCCUGUUCGAGCGUCAUUACACCACUCAAGCUAUGCUUGGUAUUGGGUGUCGUCCUUAGUUGGGCGCGCCUUAAAGACCUCGGCGAGGCCUCCCCGGCUUUAGGCGUAGUAGAAUUUAUUCGAACGUCUGUCAAAGGAGAGGAACUCUGCCGACUGAAACCUUUAUUUUUACAGGUUGACCUCGGAUCAGGUAGGGAUACCCGCUGAACUUAAGCAUAUCAAUAAGCGGAGGA
rnacentral:misc_RNA from 1 species